AUGAAAUAUGACCCUGCUUUUGCUACUUCAUCUAUCUUUAUUUCCGAUAAGGAUUAUGGUUUCUUUGUCGAUUCUGAGUUAAUUACUUUAGUUGAAUCUGAUUCUUUUUAUGGCUAUGAAUCUGAAACUAUUGUGGCACAUCUUACUAAAUUGAAUAAUAUAGCUACCCUAUUCACUAAUGAUGAGAAAACUCGCUAUUACUUUAUCCUUAAAUUAUUUUCGUUCUCAUUAAAGAGUGAUGCUAAAACAUGGUUUAAUUCUCUUGAUCCUGGUUGUGUGCGUAGUCCCCAGGAUAUGAUUUAUUACUUCUAUGCUAAAUAUUUCCCCGCUCAUAAGAAACAAGCUGCUUUAAGGAAAAUAUAUAAUUUUGUGCAAAUUGUAGAAGAGAGUCUCCCACAAACUUGGAGGAGACUUCUCUGA
rnacentral:rRNA from 1 species